CAGUAGCCGCGGGAAUACAGAGGGUGCGAGCGUUAAUAGGAUUUACUGGGCGUAAAGCGUGCGUAGGCGGCUUCUUAAGUCGGAUGUGAAAUCCCUGAGCUUAACUUAGGAAUUGCAUUCGAUACUGGGAAGCUAGGGUAUGGGAGAGGAUGGUAGAAUUCCAGGUGUAGCGGUGAAAUGCGUAGAGAUCUGGAGGAAUACCGAUGGCGAAGGCAGCCAUCUGGCCUAAUACUGACGCUGAGGUACGAAAGCAUGGGGAGCAAACAGGAUUAGAUACCCCUGUAGUCCCUGUCUCUUAUAC
rnacentral:rRNA from 1 species